ACUACUGUACUACUUUGGAUAGUCUUGAUCUCACCUGAUCUUGGAAGUUAAACAGGGUGAGGCCUGGUUAGUACUUGGAUGGAAGAUACUUAGAGAUAUUUGACAUAUAUUAUUU
rnacentral:rRNA from 1 species